GCGUCUCUCGCCUUGGUCGCUGGAGAUCGAAAAAAAAGAAGAAGAAAGAGAGAGAUCUGAGAUUGGACGAAUCUUGCUUAGCCUUUCGUGGUCACUGCUUUCUUCCCUUCCACCGUAGCUGGAGCUGCGUUCGCGUAGCUCAUCGUCGCUGGUGUGCUCGUGGCUGGUCCUUCCAUUUCCGUUAGGAUUUUCCCUGUUUCUACGUCAUUCUCCCUUGUACGAGCUCAGCGUUCCACCAUGUUAAGUCGUUGAAAUGGGUACUGCUGGUUUAGGCUGAGGCGACACUGACUCUGGUUUUCUUUUCUUCUGAACGGUGCUGCGUCUCCCUCUGUUUCUUGCAUCAGCUGGAGAGUUCCGUUUUUCUCCCCUGUUUUGCUGUAGAUUCUAUCUUCUUUGCUGCCUCUGCCAUUACUGGUGUUUAAGGGUGUGUGGAAGAACAAGACCCUGAAAAGACUUAAAAGAAGAAUACUUUCGGGAGUUAGAACUUCAACAGAUUGGUUAGCUGACGCCGAUUCCACCAACGACCUCAAAAAGGGGCAACUAGCUACAGUGGGUGGAUCCUUUUGAUUGGUAUUGCCACUUUAAUGUAAAUAUAUGAAUUGUAUGUCUUUUUGAAUCGAAAGAAAGAGUAGAUGCUCCACAUAGGUUGUUGAUGAAUCUUAUUUUUGCCUGUACAUUGGUUGCUGGCUGGAAGGAGCUAUGCUCCUGACUUAUACUGUUAGAUGUAAAAAUUUUUGUUGUAGAAUUUUCGGGAGAUCCUAGUUACAGGGGAGGUUCUGCCGAAAUUUCUGCAAAUAUGUCAACAUUUAAAAAAAAAUGAAAAAAAAAAUGAAUGACAUGAAAUCAAUGUUCAUUUGGAGGCUUACGGGAAUGUGAGAAUGGUUC